rnacentral:rRNA from 1 species
AUGCCCCGCAUCGGCUUCGCCAAGCCGGGCUCCUCUGACCGUCCGCAUCGGCUUCAGUCGGCUGAGGCCGCCUAUGGUGUGGCGCACAUCCAUGCCUCUGGUGGCGCCGUGUCGGCCAUCCGCUCCUCCUGGAGAUGGAUAAGAUCCACCCCAAGCGUCAAGGCAAACCCUAAUCCCCAUUGCCCAUCCUCCUCGCUCGUUCUUUUCCCUCCUCUGUCGCCCGACCGCAAUCGUCGUGCCGUCGCCGUGCUCGCGACCACUAGCCUCCCCGGUGCUCGGGAGGAAGUCGAGGAGCACUGUCGUCCUCUUCUCCGUCGACUUCAACCAUCGGAGCAAGCUGGGAGGGCCUCGCGCGUCGCCAUCGAGCUCAUCACCAUAUCUGCAUCUCGGUGCUCGCCGUCUUCAAUUCGGCCUCGCCGGAGCCUCCCGAGCCCGCUUUGCACUUCUAUAGGCUCAUUGUGA